rnacentral:rRNA from 1 species
GACAGAGGCCUCAAGCGUUAGGCGGAAUCACUGGGCUUAAAGCGUGUGUAGGCGGACGCCUAAGUACCUUGUGAAAUCCCACGGCUCACCCGUGGAACUGCUGGGUAUACUGGGUGUCUUGGGCCAUUCAGGGGCAACUGGAACAAGCGGUGGAGCGGUGAAAUGCGUAGAUAUCGCUUGGAACGCCGAAGGUGAAAACAGGUUGCUGGGGAUGCGCCGACGCUGAGACACGAAAGCCAGGGGAGCAAACGGG